rnacentral:lncRNA from 1 species
UUUCAGUUGAGUGUUAGUUUCUUAACAUAAAAAAAUAAAUAAUAGAAGUUAUUUAUCUAUAUACUAAAAUCGUAAAACCAAAAUGCGACUUUUCCUUCUGAUCAAGGAUUUCACAAAUAAUUUACGGCUUCAAGAUAUGCGCUGAUUUUUCGGAUUUCAUACACUGUAAACGCGAGAUUUGAAAGCAAAAAAAAGUUGUUAGACUUCUCGAACUUUCAUAAAUAAUCGUAUACUUUAUUAUUAAAAUCUACCCAAUUUAUUUUUUUUUGCAAAAUCCAUUAUAAAGACUUAAAACCGACAUUACAAAGAGAGUACGACACCUGCUUCUUUCAAAGAAUCAAUCAUUUCUUGAUCGAAAUAGCGAGUUGUAGAAACAUCUUCCACCAGACCUUUUCUACGUCUUGUCUUAAUCAGAAAGUCUCUCGCCAAAUCAGAGCCACGUGCGGGUUCUAAUGGCUUGGGCUUGAUAGACUUAUCCAGUGGAUCACCAGGUACUACCUGCCAAUGAUCAAAUACCAUUUGACACAUAGCUUGACCCUGAGUAUGCACUCGUAAAUCUGUUUCAAAUCCACAAGAAUCAAUGACUGGAAUAAGUGCUCUCACCAAAUAUAAUGGGGAACCUGGCCGAGGGAUAUCUUGGAGGACAUGACCACGACGACGCGUUAAUAAAUCAUAAAUAAUAGGAAGACUGUCAGCGGGGGCAUGUACUUCAACCAUAUACACUGGUUCCAUUAGCCGUGGAGACGCUGUUAAAAAAGAAGAAUAACACACUCUCCUUGCGGUUGGAAUAAUUUGACCACCUCCUCGAUAAAUUUGUUCAGGUGCAAGCACUACAUCCAUCAGGCGAAAAUUCACGUUUCGGAUUGUCUCAUCACAUAGAGGACCUUCCCUAGUCCCCCAUUGAAAACCUUGUUUAAUGUAUUCUUUUACGCUAUUAAGCACGUUUUUAUCAACAUCUGUACUAAGAGUAUCAUCCCGCAAUAUAUUCGUACCACGAUCAUCGGGACCAAAAGCCCAGAUGGAACGUGAAGCUAGUAAGUCCCAAUCGUAGUUCUUUUGGAAAAAUUCGCUGAUUCUUUUUUGAGGCCAAUUGAUAUUAACUUUUCCAUUUUCAAUGUCAUUAGAAAUUCCUUUCUCCAAUGGCUCAACUACCAUUGUGAUACGAUUUUUUUUAUUUGGAGUAUCUGAAAAACACUUGAUACUUGAUGUGUCCACCGCAGUCUCACAGAAACGAGCAACUGGAUCGGAAACUCUGAUUUCGAUUUCAGAGUAUAAAGUCCGAAGAUCAUAAAGUAGACAAUCCAUAUACAUCUCACCAGUACCGAAAAUAGUAUGUUCCCCAGAUUCUUCUACUUUUGUGAUAGAUAGUGGGUAGCUUUUGUUUGUUUUUCGUAGGCCAUCAAGUAGUUUUGGUAAUUCUGAUGGAUUGUGUGGCUCUACAGCCACCUUGAAAACACUCUCGGACAUGUGAGCAAUUGGCCUGAAAAUGUAAGGAUCAUCUUUCAAAUUGUCCGAAACGAUGGUUGCUGUUUUGCUAAUAGAGUUAUCAACACCUCCUAAAAGAACUAGCAUGCCGGCAACAGCUCCAUCAACGUGAAGACGAUAUCGUGCGCAAGGUACACAUAUUUCAGCAAUAUGAGCAACCACCAUAUCCUCUUCGUCUUCUAAAGAAUAAUUUUCUCCAAGAACUUUAACUUUCUGACCCUUUUUAACCUGACCACUAUAUACACGAGCAAAUGCAUAAAAAUUAUUAGCAUCGACGGUGUUGUAAAGUUUAGUAACAUGCAUGACUAAUGGUGCUGAUUCCUCACGACUCAUUUCUAAGAUAGCCUU